rnacentral:rRNA from 1 species
UACCUUACAAGGAUAACUACGGAAAAGCUGUAGCUAAUACUUGCUUUAAUGCGUUUGAUUCAUUUUUGUGUCUUACGUAUGUACUUGUUAAGCCUUUAAGAGAAAAGUUUACAACUUAAGGAAUUAUAACAAAGAAGUAACACAUAAUAAGUUUACCUUAUUUAGUGUGUAUCAAUCGAGUUUCUGACCUAUCAGCUUUUGAUGUUAGGGUAUUGGCCUAACAUGGCUAUGACGGGUAACGGGGAAUUAGAGUUCGAUUCCGGAGAGGGAGCCUGAGAAAUAGCUACCACAUCUAAGGAAGGCAGCAGGCGCGUAAAUUACCCAAUUCUAAAGAAGAGAGGUAGUGACAAGAAAUAACAAUACAAGGCCAUUUCAUGGUUUUGUAAUUGGAAUGAUGGGAAUUUAAAACCUUCCCAAAAUUCAAUUGGAGGGCAAGUCUGGUGCCAGCAGCCGCGGUAAUUCCAGCUCCAAUAGCGUAUAUUAAAAUUGUUGCAGUUAAAACGCUCGUAGUUGAAUUUCAAAGAAUCAAUAUUUUAAGUAAUGCUUUUGGUUUAAGAUGCUUAGGCAAUACAACGUAUCUGCUCUUUGCAUUCCUUAUCCAAAAUGUGUUCUUAUUAUAAAAAGGAUUCUUUUUAAAAUCUCCUUUACUUUCUUGUACUGGAGAUUUUGUUACUUUGAGUAAAUUAGAGUGUUCAAAGCAAACAGUUAAAGCAUUUUACUGCGUUUGAAUACUACAGCAUGGAAUAACAAAAUUGAACAAGUCAAAACUCUGUUCUUUUUUCUUAUUUUGGCUUAGUUACGAUUAAUAGGAGUAGCUUGGGGGCAUUUGUAUUCAGAUGUCAGAGGUGAAAUUCUUAGAU